rnacentral:tRNA from 1 species
GACUCCGUAGCUUUGAGGAAAGAAGCGCCCGUCUAGCGAAUUGGGAGUCGUGAGUUUGAUUCUCACCGGAGCA